GUGCUUGCUUGGGCACAUGUACUAAAGCUGCAACAAUAGAAAGAAGAUUAGCAUGGCUCCUGUGUAAGGAUGACGCACAAAUUCCUAAAGUGUUCCAUAUACAU